AAUGUGAGACCAUCAGAAAAUUAAUACAAGUAUCUUCUUCCUCAAUUUUCCUCUCUUCUCCUCUCCUCUCCACUCUUCUCUACUUUUCUCUGCUUAACCCCUCUUCUAUGCUCAAUCUCACUCGCUGAACCUCCCAAAUUCCCCUCUCAUCCCAAUCCCUCUGAUUCCCGCUCGACUUAUCAAGUAUCUUCUCAUCCGAGCUGACAGACGCGGUCCAAUGCAAGCUGCCAUCAUCCUCACCGC
rnacentral:lncRNA from 1 species